rnacentral:rRNA from 1 species
UACGAAGGGGGGCUAGCGUUGCUCGGAAUUACUGGGCGUAAAGCGCGCGCAGGCGGUCUUCCAAGUCAGUGGUGAAAGCCUGGAGCUCAACUCCAGAACUGCCAUUGAAACUGUUAGACUUGAGUACAGAGAGGUGAGUGGAAUUCCCAGUGUAGAGGUGAAAUUCGUAGAUAUUGGGAAAGAACACCAGUGGCGAAGGCGGCUCACUGGCUCGUAACUGACGCUCGGCGCGACAGCGUGGGGAU